rnacentral:rRNA from 1 species
GUGCUUAACACAUGCAAGUCGAACGAUGAAGCCUUUCGGGGUGGAUUAGUGGCGAACGGUGAGUAACACGUGGCAAUCUGCCCUUCACUCUGGGACAAGCCCUGGAAACGGGGUCUAAUACCGGAUAACACUCUGUCCCGCAUGGGACGGGGUUAAAAGCUCCGGCGGUGAAGGAUGAGCCCGCGGCCUAUCAGCUUGUUGGUGGGGUAAUGGCCUACCAAGGCGACGACGGGUAGCCGGCCUGAGAGGGCGACCGGCCACACUGGGACUGAGACACGGCCCAGACUCCUACGGGAGGCAGCAGUGGGGAAUAUUGCACAAUGGGCGAAAGCCUGAUGCAGCGACGCCGCGUGAGGGAUGACGGCCUUCGGGUUGUAAACCUCUUUCAGCAGGGAAGAAGCGAAAGUGACGGUACCUGCAGAAGAAGCGCCGGCUAACUACGUGCCAGCAGCCGCGG